AUGUGGACUCGGCUUCGUCAGCGCUAUCAGCCCUCUGAUGAUGCCUUAUACCUGUCUGUGGUUCGUCAGGAGCAUGCUCUUCAGCAGGGUGACUCCACUGUUGAUGAGUUCUAUGCACAGAGUUCUGCUAUCUGGCGUCAGCUUGAUUCUCUACGCACCGCUGGUUGUCGUACUUGUCAGUGUUGCUAGGCUGUGCGGGCUGAUUUGGAGUUUCAUCGUGUCUACGAGUUCUUGUCUCGACUCCGUAAGGAGUUUGAGCCCCGUCGCGCUCAGUUGUUUGCUCGUGGUCGUAUCUCCCCCAUGGAAGCGCUUUCUGAGAUCCGUGCUGAGGAGAUUCGCCUCCGUGGCGCUAGUUUACUUGAGGUUCCCUCUGUGCUCACUACUCGAGUUCCUGCUAUGCCUGCUGCACCGACUCCUUCCCACUCGAGUGCUCCGCCGCUCUUGCCUACUCCUACGGGCGGCCAGGGUUGGUCUCGUCCUCACUGCGGCUACUGCAAGAUGGAUGGUCAUGUUGAGUCUCAGUGUUUCCAGAAGAAGAAACACCUGCGUAAGGCGCGAUCAUCAGCUUCAGGGACUUCUUCUACUUCGACAUCUUCAGCCACCGCCUUGACUGAGCACGAUAUUUUGCAACUUAAGCGUCUGCUUGCCGCUUCAGGUUCUCCUUCGACGGGUACUGCAGGUUCUGUGACUGAUGCUUCCCGCACUGAGCAACCACCCUCUACACAGUCAGGUACAUCCUCGUGUGUAACGCCCAUGAUGCGGCUAUAUCUCCCACGUGUCGAGGCACGACUUAGAGGCAUAACCGCAUUGUGGUUUUGUCGCAAGAAGGGUCAUCUUCACACAAUCCCAUGUAAUGAACAAGAAUGGGAUAACGAGAGUUGGCUUACAAUCGCCACUUCACACAAUACAUAA
rnacentral:rRNA from 1 species